UAUUGUUAUCUUUUAGCCGAUCACAGUAACGGACGUUUCUCGACAAUUUGUUUGGACUUAUACGACGAGACAAGGAAUUUAACCCAAUUCUGCUCAAUGAGGAUAAAUCUAUUGGCACUUGAUAAUACAUCAGAGAAAGUUAAUAAAUUAAAACGUCACACACAUCAAGAUGAGUUACAAAACAUAUCUCUUAUUUCUCGUUAUCGUCUCUCUCUCAUUAUCAUGCGUACUCUCUAGGAAGAAUACGAAUCAUGUGCGUCAUAUGAAGAGUAGACAUCAACAAUCUUCAAGUCAUCGACAACCUUUAAGUCAUCAACAACUAAACGAAGAUUGCAAAAAGAAAUUUAACGUAGGUUCAUGCGUUGCAUUUGAAGAAAGAUAUUUUUACGACAGAGACACAAGUAGAUGUAGAAAAUUUAUGUGGGGAGGUUGUGAAAAAAAUAAUAACAAUUUUAAGACUAUGCAGGAAUGUCAGAAUUUUUGUAUGUUUAAUAAUUUUUAUUAUCAUGUAAAAAUAAUAAAUUAAAAAUUUUAUGAAA